CUCCUAGGUGGUAAAAGUGGGGCAGGUGCUGGGAUUGAUCUAUCAUCUCUAGUAGUUGCAGAAGGAAAAAUUUGUUGGGAUCUUUAUAUUGAUGGCCUUGUUGUCAGUUCAGAUGGAAAUCUUUUAGAUGCUCUUGGUGCUGCAAUUAAGGUACAUCUACAAUUAUACAUUGGGAAUUAACAAAAAAAAAAGUUUGGUAAAGUUCAAGAUAUGCUUUGUCUUUAAGCAAUUCUUGGACAAGAAAUUUUAUAUCAUUUUAAUUCUCAAGUUUUAAUCUAUUAUCAGUUUAGUAUCACUUUUUUACUAGUGUUUUUACUUAAAUGAUGUCCAUAUUUUAAAUUAUUAGAAUCUAGUAUUAUCCAUGUAUUGCUGCACUGGUGCCAUGUUGACCAUUUCUUUUUCUUUUGAAAUAAGAUUCUGUUAUGGAUGGAAAAAUAAAGCAUACAAAAGAUGAUAUAUAUUAUCAACCUUUUUUCACUUGUUUGAAUACCUAAUACAUUUUUCUUUUCUACAAGUACACUGAAUGUAGAAUAUAAUGGUGAUUUUAGAAGCUGGUGGACAUAUAAGGAUUGUGUUGAUUGAAACAGGGAAUUAAGUUCUUUUAUGGGGCUUUUAUUGAUUCUUCAUAGUUGAUAAAGCCCGCCAGAUUCAACCUGUCUGAUAAUUGUAGGAAUAAUAAAGGUCCUAAUACUUUUAUCAUUUUUCCAUUCAUGUCUUUGAUACUCCACCCCCUCCUCUUCUUUACCUUCAAAACCUGGUACUUCUCAAAAUGUUUCUAACUGAGUCUCCAUCAAAUUAUUGCAAGUCAACUUGGAAUAUGUUACCCACUUCAGUUUUAAUACUUUUUAAAAAAUAACACUUUUGUAUUUCGGAUAACUACAUAGGAAGUCCUCCCUCUUUACUUUUAAAAUCAAGUCCUCGUACUUCCCCCCCUGUUUCAAUUAGACAAGUCCUUAUAGUCUUUAAAACAUUUGAGAUAAGUCAUUAAUUGUUUCAUUUGGACAUUGAAUUUGGUUGUGGUAUCUACCUUGAUAGAUUUGGAAUCUAGAUUGAACAAAAUAGUAUACAUCAACAUUAAGUUAGAUAUUUUAGCAUGUUAAUUGAUAAGUACCCUUAACCUAAAUAAUAAAAAUUUAUAACCUGCUAUGGAUUGGCAUCUUUUUGCUGUGCAGUUUCCCACUUUUCACAUUUUAUAGACCAAUUGUCUUUCUUUCUGUGUUUUAUUGGAUGGCUGGAUCAGAUGGUCAUGAGAAGGAUCAAUAAGAUGGGAAUAGAUUUUCAAGCAAGACUGUUGUUAAUAUGAGUCACAAAAUGGUAGAUGAGAGAUUAUGCAAAAUUGAUUUUUCAUAAAGAUGAGGAAAUAUGACAAAAGUUUCUGGCCACACCAAUUAUCUUCCUAGAAACAAAUAUGAGAACCCUCAUCGAGAUUUUAUUUAGCAAAAGGAAGAAAAAGAGAAUAACUUGGAGAUGCAUUUCUAUGAGCUUUGAUUGUAACAUUGUGUUUAUCCUUCACCCAUUAUGUUGUAAACCAUACUCUAUCUGAAUAACAUUUUGCCAAGUGGAAUUGAUUUCUAUUGGAAAUCACCACAACCAUAUAUCUUUUAGGGCAGUACUUUAGAUUUAGGCCUACAAAACUUGUUCCUAACUGAUUAAAUGAUCUCAUUUGGUUCCACCUGCUUCCAACCAAAGAAAGUCCCUCAUCACAAUCCUAAAUGGACUUCGGAGAGGAUUCCAAGUUUCCAACCUCAUACAUAAUUCUAAGAACUCCUUUGACAAAUUAAUUCCUACCAAAACACUUUUAGAAUUAAUCUUUAGACACUUCAUUUGAAACCUGUUGAGCAAGGUCAAGAAAAUUUAAAAAACUUGCUUCUCUAACGGAAAGAAUAAUGUAUCGUCUGCAAAUCAUAAAUGAGACAAUAACUUUGUUUGAUCCUAUUUCAACAUUUGCUUUUCAAUCUCUUUCAACUCCUCUGAACUUUUCUACUUAAAACUUCAACUAUUAUAACAAACAGAAAUGGAGAACUGAUCAUCUUGCCUGUUUAACCAAUCAUGAGCUAGAAAACUGUAGCAGAUUUAAAGAAGAAAUUCUGAGAAUGUUAUCACUCGGAAUCUUGAGGUGUCAACGGAGGUCAGAAAUAGAGAAGGAAGUGAAUACAGCCAGAUAUGGUAAAGACACCUCAAGCUUUACUCCAAAGAUGGUUUUCUCUGCGCUUACCUCCUCAACACCACCAGUACCGCCAACAACAGUUAUCCGAAUUCUACCUCAACUCCCAGUCACCAAUACACAUGUGGUGCCUUGGAACUAUAAUUUCCAAAUUUUUACUCAAAAUGCUUCCAGCAGCACUUCUACUCCUACUCUCAACCAUACCUAUACUCAACCUUUUUGGCUGCCUAUUAAUGAUCACUGGAAAAAUUUAAGGAUAUCGAUUAUUCCACUUCCUUGACUUUGCUCUAAAACCCUUUGCCGCAAGAAAAAUCCAACAUAUUCUGUGAAAAUAGAAAGAAAUAAUAAAUUUUGUGGAAAUGAUUUCUUGAUUCUAUUCUCAAGUUGUGUAUACUAUUUAUAUACAAUUACAAAUCCUAUAAGAUAUAUAUAAUCAAGGAAUUCCUUGAUUAU
rnacentral:misc_RNA from 1 species